GCAAUAGUGAAAAAAAUAUGAUUGAGAAUUUCCUCAAACUGAUAAAAGACAACUUCAGAUUUUAAGGGCCACCCUGGUUCAAAGCGCCAAGCUGCUGACAGCAACAUAAGUUGCCACUGGGAGUCCUGUGUCCCCAGAGGAACCAGAGGAGUUGAGUAGCAUCUAAUUAUUCAGUAUAGAUAUGGACGCUAACUUGGACUUAGUACAUGUAUUACAUGGACUCCCUCCAAAUCACCAUGCCAAGCCUCUGGAGGACAGAAGAAUAUAAAUUGUUUAACUCCUCUUAAUCUCAGUUUCCAUCUAUGUAUACAGGAAAUAAAAAUAAUUUGUACUCUGGUUCAAAUCCUGAUGCUCCCACAUACCAGCUGUGUGUCCUUGGGCAAGUCACUUCCCUCUCUCAGCUGCAUCUCUUUCUCUCAAGAUUCUGAGCAGCAAGUGAGAAGAUAUUAGCUACAAAAACACUUGCAAAAUGAGACACCAAGAGUUAUGUGAAGCUAAGAUCUUCGUGAAGAUGAAUUGCUUUGGAACCAACCAAAUUUGAGGUGAACAUUUGACAUGCUGCGGAGGUGGGGUGACCAUAACCAUCUUUUACAAGAUGAAAAUAUGAACUCAGAAAUAUGACACACCCUCUCAAAAUGGAACUGAUGUAGUUUGGUGUCAAAGACAUCAUUGCUUCAUAUGAAUAUUUAGAAGCUUGAUGUGUAAUAAUGGCUGCAAAACAACAAAAUGACAUGGAAAAUUUUCAAAAGAAUGAGUUAAAUAAUUUCCACUGAACAUGACUUGGACAGCUCCCUUCAUCAGCUAGAACGAAAGGAAGAUGUGGAAUAAUGUACAAACUUGACCCCUUUAGAUUGAUGUACAAGAAAUAAGGCAUCGCUUUCUAAACUUUCUCUCCCAAACAUCCACCCUUGUACUCUCAGACUUCAAAACUACACUCAAGGGACCUAGAUGUAACCAAUUCUUGAUUUGCCUGAUAGCACAACGAUGUAACAUCAUCUUCUUACUACAAAAAUGCUCCUUCCAGUGGUAAAUCACAGAUGUGCUGCAGACAGCAGAGAUCUGGGAUUCUUUUGAUGUGACAGGAGUGCAAUGGAACAACAUUAUGGUCUGCUAUUAAUUAUGAAGAGGAUCAAAAUCUUAGUCAAAUCUGACUGCAUCCCUAAGAGAUGACAGCGAGUUCAAGGGAGCUUUGGAUGAGCAAUGAGCUUCAACCAGCAUGCUUUUUGCUUGGCAAGUUAAACUAAUCCAGUUCAAGACUAGAGGCAUGUUGGCUUAGAAUUAUGGAUGAAAGCAGUACACAUGUGUCCUCAAAAUAUUUGAUCCUGUAAAAAUGGUGAUACGUAUCAGAGACAGUGGAGAGUGGACUGCAGAAUGUGAA
rnacentral:lncRNA from 1 species